CAGAAGAUCCUGAUCAGAGCUGAUCUCAUCGGCGACAAGUGCAAGAGCAAGAUCCUGGCAACUGCUGCCAAGCUCAAGGGGAUCAAGUCCAUGGACAUUGACCAGGACAAGUGCACGCUGACGGUGGUCGGCACCGUCGAUCCGGUGCGGCUCCUGCAGUGUCUCAGGAAGUCGUGCUUCGCCGCAGUUAUCAUCAGCGUCGCAGACGACAAGCCAAAGGAGCCAGAGAAGAAGAAGGACCCCUGCCAGGAGGCCUGCGAGAAGGCCUGCAAGGACAUGUGCGAGAUGGCUUGCAAGGAGGCGUGCUGCAAGAAGUGCGACAUGGCUUGCAAUGAGGCGUGCUGCAAGAAGGUGACGCCGUCCUGCUACCCGUCCCGCUGCACGCCGGGCUGCGACUCCAGCCCCUGUGGCCUGCCCAGCUGCCGCUUCUACAUCUACGGCUGCGUCGUGCGCAAGCCGCCACUGGGACACGGCUGCAACAAGGGGAGGUCACGCGGACUCAGAGGAGAAUGCGGCAUCCAGUAG
rnacentral:rRNA from 1 species